CCUACGGGUGGCAGCAGUAAGGAAUAUUGGUCAAUGGACGAAAGUCUGAACCAGCCAUCCCGCGUGCAGGAUGAAAGCCCUAUGGGUUGUAAACUGCUUUUAGCAGAGAAGAAAAGCUUUCAUUAAUGAGAGUCUGACGGUAUCUGCAGAAUAAGCACCGGCUAACUCCGUGCCAGCAGCCGCGGUAAUACGGAGGGUGCGAGCGUUACCCGGAAUUACUGGGGUGUAAGGGGAGGUUGGCGGAGGAGGAGAAAUCUUGUCGCUUACCGAUAAACUUGCCCAUGAUACUGGUACUCUUGAAUUGGGUUGAGGUUAGCGGAAUGUGACAUGUAGCGGUGAAAUGCAUAGAUAUGUCAUGGAACACCAAUUGCGAAGGCAGCUAACUGGGCCUUGAUUGACGCUGAGGCACGAAAGCGUGGGUAGCGAACAGGAUUAGAUACCCGGGUAGUC
rnacentral:rRNA from 1 species